GCCGGGUGCGGUGGCUCACGCCUGUAAUCCCAGUACUUUGGGAGGCUGAGGCAGGUGGAUCACCUGAGGUCAGGGAUUCGAGACCAGCCUGGCCAAUAUGGUGAAACCCUGUCUCUA
ensembl:misc_RNA Metazoa_SRP Metazoan signal recognition particle RNA